ensembl:snRNA U1 U1 spliceosomal RNA
UAUCUUGUCAUCCAGCUGUUAUGGUUAAUAAUGAAUAGUUUUCUCUGGGUGAAGCUUAUCCAUUGCACACCUGAUGUGCUGGCCCCUGCGAUUUCCCCAAAUGUUGGAAUGUUGCCUGCAUAAUUUGUGGUAAUGGGGGACUGUGUUCCUGCUUUUACCUG